rnacentral:lncRNA from 1 species
UGGUAUGGCGACUCAAAAAUGAAGAGAGGAGGUGUCUUAGGCAUGGUGGGUUCAAGAGAAAGGUCCAUGAAAGAAGGAGAUGUAGGAGUUGACACCAACAGCUCGGAUCUUCCCAUGUACUAAGGAGUUUCAAGGAACUAACACUAGUUCCUUGGCUGUAAGGAAAUCUCUUUCUCUUGUAUAAAGCUUGAGUGUAUGAACAGGUUGUGAUGUUGUGAUGUGACUGGAAACCUGAGGAUUGUUUAAAAGAUUGCUAAAAUGAAGUUGCUUUAGAAUCUGUCCCAGGAUACUUUAAGAGUCUUGUUUGGGUAUUGAAAUUGUUUAGUAUGCUUAGC